UACGUAGGGGGCAAGCGUUGUCCGGAUUUAUUGGGCGUAAAGAGCGUGUAGGCGGUCUGGUAGGUCCGUUGUGAAAACUCGAGGCUCAACCUCGAGACGCCGAUGGAAACCAUCAGACUAGAGUCCGGAAGAGGAGAGUGGAAUUCCUGGUGUAGCGGUGGAAUGCGCAGAUAUCAGGAGGAACACCGGUGGCGAAGGCGGGUCUCUGGGCCGUUACUGACGCUGAGGAGCGAAAGCGUGGGGAGCGAACAGG
rnacentral:rRNA from 1 species